GCCCCUGUGGUGGAAUGGUAGACGCGGCGGAUUCAAAAUCCGCUUCCGCAAGGAGUGCUGGUUCGAGUCCGGCCAGGGGCACCA
rnacentral:tRNA from 2 species